GUGGGGAUAUUGCACAAUGGGCGAAAGCCUGAUGCAGCCAUGCCGCGUGUAUGAAGAAGGCCUUCGGGUUGUAAAGUACUUUCAGUUGUGAGGAAGGUUACGUAGUUAAUAGCUGCGUAGCUUGACGUUAGCAACAGAAGAAGCACCGGCUAACUCCGUGCCAGCAGCCGCGGUAAUACGGAGGGUGCGAGCGUUAAUCGGAAUUACUGGGCGUAAAGCGCAUGCAGGUGGUUUGUUAAGUCAGAUGUGAAAGCCCGGGGCUCAACCUCGGAAGGUCAUUUGAAACUGGCAAACUAGAGUACUGUAGAGGGGGGUAGAAUUUCAGGUGUAGCGGUGAAAUGCGUAGAGAUCUGAAGGAAUACCAGUGGCGAAGGCGGCCCCCUGGACAGAUACUGACACUCAGAUGCGAAAGCGUGGGGAGCAAACGGGAUUAGAUACCCCGGUAGUCCACGCCGUAAACGAUGUCUACUUGGAGGUUGUGGCCUUGAGCCGUGGCUUUCGGAGCUAACGCGUUAAGUAGACCGCCUGGGGAGUACGGUCGCAAGAUUAAAACUCAAAUGAAUUGACGGGGGCCC
rnacentral:rRNA from 1 species